UACAAUAGAAUCGGCUUUCAAGGGUGGUCGGCUAAUCCCCGGAGAGGGGGUGAUGCCCGUGAGGUAUAUCAAGCAUUAUCCUUGAUGAUCAUGUUCGCCAUGUUCGUCUUGGCUCUGCUUACCUUCCUCAAAAAGAAAUAGACCGCCCUUGGCAUAGGUUUGCGGUCUAUUUCAGUAGGCCUGACUUAGUAGCCGAUCACCCUUUAGGGCAAUCUAUUGUACGGACCGUAGAUGUAGCAGCAUCUACG
rnacentral:sRNA from 1 species